rnacentral:misc_RNA from 1 species
AUCAUAGCAGGAAACUCAAAUGGGCAAAUUCCAGCACAAACACCAAGUGGCUCUCUAAUGCUGUAGGUAUCAAUUCCAUUAGACACGUUGGAAACAAACUCUCCAAUUUGCAGGGUUGCCAAUCCACAAGCAUGUUCCACCACCUCUAGCCCUCGUGACACAUCAGCAUAUGCAUCUUUUAAAGCCUUUCCAUGUUCAACAGUAAUGGUCAUGGACAGCUUAUCAAUUUCCCUCCGGAUAAGCUCUUGAAACUUGAACAUGAUUCGUUGACGGGUGGUAAUUGGUGUGCUUCUCCAUGAUGGAAAUGCCCGCUUUGCUGCAAAGACUGCAGCUCUGAAUUCCUCAUUUGUAGUCAAAGGAACUUGAGAAACAAGUUGUUGGGUUGCGGGAUUUAUAACAUCGAUAGAUGCAAAGGAUUGUGAAUCAACAAAUUUACCUCCAAUGAGAUUGGGAACCCUAGUGGGGUAGCACUGCCUCCAGGAUGGCUCUGUAACCGAUAGAUAAUUUUUCCUAACAGCAGAUUUCUCAGGCCGCAAAGACCUGAAUUGUCUUACUGUCAUAUUUCCUUGUCGGAGUUUCGCCUUAACAUUGUACACG